ensembl:misc_RNA 7SK 7SK RNA
GGAUGUAAGGGUGAUCUUACUGUGACAUCUGUCACUCCAUUGAACCUGGCUUGAUUCUGCUGAUCUGGCUGGCUAGACAGGUGCCCCCUUCCUCCUUCACUACACCAUGUGCAUUCCUCCCAAAGCUUCUCACUCGGUCAAAAAGGACUGCAUUCCCUGAAUAGAGACAGACAGGUCUUCAGUAUAGCAGUACCUGUACUCCCCUGCUAGAACCUCCAAACAAACUCUCAAGGAGUAAAUACUCUCAGGAGAGUAAUUGCAGGGUCAUAGGGAAGGCCCACUUCUCGCCUUCUGAGAGUUCUUUAGACUGCUCUCCAUA